CUUGAGAUUUUAAAAAGUUUUCAGGAACCAUGACAUGAAACUCUGAGUUGACAAGAUGCAGCAUGCUUAUCCUGGUCUCUUUAUAUUUUACCUGGGUUGUACUGUGAACAAUAGCUUUGAGAUAAAUAUCUUUAUAUUUUAACUCUUUUUUGUCUCAGGCUCUUGAUCGUGCUAAGCCUGGUAUGGAGAAUGCAAAGAAUGCUGCUCAAAGUAGAUCAUUCAAACGGCUGAGCCUAAGGGAAGCCAGGACUAAUUCAAACUAAUAAAGGUGUGGUAGCCAGAUAGUAAACAGGACGUGCUCCUACUGGACCCCAAGAAAGACUGUCGUCUAAAGAAUUGCUUUGCCUGGGGGAUUUGUCUGCUGCAAGUGCAAGUGGUUGUAUUUGAGUUUAGUUAUCUAAUUAGGUACAAGAGUUUUUGUGACUAUAUUUUAUUUAUUUGUGUAGAGCUUAAGACUUCAAGAAUUUUGUUUCAAAUCAAAUUCGAAUUGGAGUUGAAAUGAAUCCGGAUGAAAAAGCUA